UCCCUCUCGGGGUAGCACCUGGAGAGUUUCCAGUACUCUACCAGUCUCAGUUACGGGAGGGAGAGUGAAGCAGAGGCAUACUCAUUCCAUUCCUAACAGGAGCAGUGGCUAGCGAGUUGAAGGAAAUCUGCAACAAGU